GGUGAAUGCUAGCGGCAGGCCUAACACAUGCAAGUCGAGGGGUAGCAGGAUUAAGCUUGCUUAAUUGCUGACGACCGGCGCACGGGUGCGUAACGCGUAUGCAACCUACCUUAUACUGGGGUAUAGCCCGGAGAAAUUCGGAUUAAUCCCCCAUAGUACUAAUGAAUCGCAUGGUUUAUUAGUUAAAGCAUUGCGGUAUAAGAUGGGCAUGCGUCCUAUUAGCUAGAUGGUGAGGUAACGGCUCACCAUGGCUACGAUAGGUAGGGGGCCUGAGAGGGUGGUCCCCCACACUGGUACUGAGACACGGACCAGACUCCUACGGGAGGCAGCAGUGAGGAAUAUUGGUCAAUGGGCGCAAGCCUGAACCAGCCAUGCCGCGUGCAGGAAGAAUGCCCUAUGGGUUGUAAACUGCCUUUAUUUGGGAAUAAACCUCUUUACGUGUAGAGAGCUGAAGGUACCAAAUGAAUAAGCACCGGCUAACUCCGUGCCAGCCGCCGCAGUAA
rnacentral:rRNA from 1 species